UUAUAUCUUAUCUGAUAAUCACCCGACUGCUACUUGCAUUCCAUCAAAAAAAUCUUGUCUAUUAUUUCUUGUUGUUUUUAUCACGCCAGUUGGAAUCUAGAUAUACACAUUGAGAAUCAGAUAGAGAUAGGGUUCGGUUCGGCUCGCUCGGUGUGCUAGCUAGUGGGCCUUGCAAGCUCAAUGCUGCUGCUAUUACUUGUAGUUACCAAGGCAAGGGAAUGGAUAGACACGAAGGACAGAGGCUCGCCC
rnacentral:lncRNA from 1 species